rnacentral:rRNA from 1 species
CCUCCGGGUUGCUUCCUUUCUUCCUCUUGUUCCCUUUUCUAUCUCCUUACCCCGCCCCGUCUCGUGAGGGAGUACUGCCCUAUGGGUUGUAAACCUCUUUUGUCGGGGAGCAAAAGCCGGACGUGUCCGGCUGUGAGAGUACCCGAAGAAAAAGCAUCGGCUAACUCCGUGCCAGCAGCCGCGGUAAUACGGAGGAUGCGAGCGUUAUCCGGAUUUAUUGGGUUUAAAGGGUGCGCAGGCGGAUUUUUAAGUCAGCGGUCAAAUCGUGGGGCUCAACCCCAUCCAGCCGUUGAAACUGGGGAUCUAGAGUGUGCGAGAGGUAUGCGGAAUGCGUGGUGUAGCGGUGAAAUGCAUAGAUAUCACGCAGAACCCCGAUUGUGAAGGCAGCAUACCGGUGCACAACUGACGCUCAGGCACGAAAGCGUGGGUAUCGAACAGGAUUAGAUACCCCAGUAGUC